ACUUAGAGAUACAACUCAAACGAUUUGAUUUAUCGAUUAAAGGGUGAAAGUUAUUUCUCCUAGGGACUUCAAAAACUGAGCAAUCUGCAUUGAGUUUUCCAGAUAAAAUGUCAGAAACGUCGUCGAAGAGUACAACGAAGACCCAGAGGAAGGCCAAAAAGCAAAAGAAGAAGCCAAAAAUGGCUCGACUCGCUCGGAAAUCGAUGUGCCCAUUGGGAGAAAAUCAAACAGGAAUCUCAAGCGUUGCUGUUGGUGAGCUCAAGGCGAUUCCUGAGGAAGAGCUACCGAUACACGAAGUGGAGGCGGUCGUUAGCCAUCGUGUGGUGAAUGGUAGAACUGAAUACUUUCUGAAAUGGAAGGGUUUUCCCGAAUCGGCCAACUCAUGGGAACCGCGAAGUCAUAUUCUGUGCUCUGAACUGUUGCGCGAAUAUUCAAGAAAACCACGAGAAUUGGCGAGGAGUUUUCUAAUCGUCUAACACAUACUCUCCAUUUUUUGUAUCGCUGGCAAUCAGUUGAAUAAAACUCUCUGAGAGCAAGAGAAAAAGAGAGAUAGAGACAGGAUAA